UGUAGGACCAGGAGAAACGCCAGUCACCAAAGCGCCGCCCUAGGAAGCUCACAGUGACUCCGGUGUAGAUGGCCAUGGCAAGAAGGACGAAGAGAGCUGGGACAAAGACAGAGGCCCAGGGGAAGGAUGGAGGUAACAUUUGUUGCUGAGGCAGUAGCGCCAAAGACCCUGGUGGGCGAAGGCCCCGGACAGCCGAUACUGCAUCCAGUGGUCCGUGGCCGUGGCGACCACCAGGAGGAUGUUCCCCACCCAGGCACAGAAGAGGCCCCCUCCCAUGAAGCUGUACAUGGCGUCCUGGGGGGGGAGCGGGAGGGAGAGAGGAAGAGAGACAAGUUUAGGAGCAGAGGUGCUGGACGCCUGGGUCCUUCAGAGAGGCGAGAAUGGACGGACAGCAAGACGCCCGGUUCCCCAACAUCUGAAUGGUUGGGGUUGGGGGGGGGCGUCUGAGUGUCCCAGAAGGGAUCUGGGUCCUGGAGAGGGCUGGAACCCAGGAGCCUAAUUACCCAAGUCCUCGAGAAGGUGCGAGCUAUGGAACCAGCAUACUUGGGUCCCUAGAGGGGCAGAGGUUGGGGGCAUCAGGAUCGCUGGUCACUGGAGCCCCUGGGCUGGGUUCUAGGUAAACGCUUUGGUGUCUCUGGGGGGGCCCACAGAGGAAAGCUGCCCCGAUCUCCUUGGUGGUUGGAGCUAGGCUGGUAGACUCGCCAGACGAUGGUCGGCUGGGCUGGCUAUCUUGGCAGCCCCCAAGAGUGCCGGACAGACUAGAGCCCUGGGUCCCCAAGACGUGUGGGAGGGGACAUUAGGGAGACGAGUCCCUGAGGGAGCAGGUGCUAGGGGGGCCCUGGAUGGGGGUUGGGAACGGGUCUCCUCCAAUGACUCCAUACCUUGGUAGCAGAGUUGGUGCCGAACCCUCCGAUGAUCACGUCCCCCUGGUGCAGACUGAGCCCCAGCCCAGCCCCAGCCCUUCCUGAAUGCCCUCCCCUGGGUGCCCCCAAAUCCCUUAACCCCUCAGGACAAUAGACCCAGGCACCAGCAGCUUCUAGUCCCCAGAGUUGCUGAGUUGGCGAAGCAGGCCCUAAAUGGGAGUUGCUGAGACAACUGAUUUGGGGGGAAGGGUAGGUCCCCGCACCCAGAUCCUCAGGGCUCCCCCUUCGCUUCCUUUGAUCCCCCUCAGCGGAUUUGUGGCCCCCACAGAGGAAGUUUCAGAAUGCUCCCCUUUCUUGGUUAAUUCUCUGCCGCCAAGACACAGAUACCCAGAACCCAGAAACGACUCAUCGGAACAUUUUUAUUCAUGCACUGAGACACCAGGAGGUUCGGGGUUCUAGAGGAGUAAGAACUAAGGGGCUGGGGUGCUAGACCAAGGGUCAGGGUGCCUGGGGUCAGGUCCCCAUGAGCGCAAACGUUUAGGGGAAACUUGGGGCGAAGGAGCCGUCGCCAGAUGCCCAGACCUGCUGGACAAAUGGGGAAGGAGGUCCCCCCAGGGCUGGGCGCAGGCCACCUCCGGCCAGGGGCCAGGAACAGAAAUGGAGGUGACACGAGGGUCGUGGCCGUGGGUGGGAGCAGGAAUGGAGAAGAUGGGGAGGUCCAGGGUCUGCCCAUCUUCAUCCCCGUUCUUGGCCCACCUACAAAGCCAUCAGGGCUCGCCAGAGGCCGGUGCGGCCGUGCCCCCUGCCAGCUGGGGGGCCCGAGCUUCUGGGCUCUUCUCGCGCCCAGGGUCCAGGGGCGCCUUCUCCGAGCCGACCGAGGGGGCAUCUUGGUAGUCGCUCUCCCAGUCCUCCGCAGAGGGGGCGGCGGGGGCCGCUGGGGCUCUUGGAUGGGCACCCUGGUUGUCCCAGUCCUCCCUGGACUGUGGGGGAAGGGAGGCCUGGUAUUCCUGCUCCCACUCCGCUGUGGCUAGGGCGGCAGAGGCUCUUCGAGGGUGGUCCUCCCUCGGCUGUGGCUGGGGGGUCCAGGAUCUUCGUGGCUGCCACUCACUCCCCCGCUCCCUCAGAGGCCGGAGGGGUGAAGGGCGCCCCCUCCAGCUCUGCUUCCUGGUGCCCAGGGGGGGGUCGGGGCCCCGCCUGCCCUUGGGCGCCCCCUCCCCUGGCCAGCUUCUGGCCCAGCGCUGCUGUGGGGGCUCCGGGGCCGCUGGCUGAAGUGGUGGCCGGGUGCAGCAGGGGUUAGGGUGGCACGGACAAAGGGCCGGGGCGGGCCUGAGGCUGUAGGCCCCCAGCAGGGCACUGUGGAGAAGGUAGGACAGGGCAUCCAGCCGGAUGGGGAUGGAGACGGCAGCCAGACCCUCGGGGAGCUGGGGCGGCGCAGACCCCGACACCAUCACUGGCCCAGACCCCAUCUGGCUCAGGGCCACCGUCUGGGGGACGAGGACGGAGGCGGCCGACUCCGGGAGCUCCGAGAGGCUGCUCCUGCCACAAGAGACGACAGGAAGUCAAAACAUCCCGCAGCCCCCUUCCUGGGCCCUCCCGCGGCCUCGGUCUUAGUCUGGGCCUCAAAAGGACUCUGAAGCCUCCAAAAGAGCUCUCAAUAUUGACCGUGUUAGAAAUUAAGACUUCUUAUACUACGGACAUAGCUUUGGCCUUUAAGAGCCCCGGAACCAGAGUCUUUCCUUUAAGAAAAACCAACCCUUAGCUUCCACCUUGAAUCAAUACUGUGUUAUCUUUCUAAGGCAGAAGAGCAGUAAGGGCUGGGCAAUGCGGGUUAAGUGACUUGCCCAGGGUCACACAGCUGGGAAGUGUCUGAAUCCAGAUUUGAACCCAAGACCUCCUGUCUCUGGGCCUGGUUCUCCAUCCACUGACCCAACUAGCUACUUUCAGAAGCUGGAAUGGUCCUUAAACAGCAUUUAAUUUAAUCGGCACCCCCCCCCCCAUUCUACAAACAGAGAGAAGGAACGAUGAACCUGCCCUUGUCAGCAGGGACUGUUUCAUUCCUUGUAUUAGUAUCCCCCACACUGGCUAGUUCAGUGCUCAGCACACCGUACAUGCUUAAUAAAUGCAUAUAGAUUGGUUGAGCUAAGUUCCCUAAGGGAGUUGAGGCCUGAGCAGAACUGGAACCCAGGUCCCAGGCCUCCUAGCCCAGGGCUCUGUUCUCCAUACCACACCCCAACCCCUUCCAAGCUUGUCUCUAGUGUCCCUCUGGGCCCCUGGGAGUCCGUCGGUUUCUGCUGAUCUCUGACCCUCCUCUCUCCUGAGUCUCCAGUACUCCUUUCUGGGCUUUGUCUUAGCUACGGUUCCCUCACCCUCCAGACUCGGCCUUCUCCUGACACUUCUCCAUCCGGGAAAACAGGUUUCCUCCCCAGGUGUUCACCUCCAGCCCGGAAGGAAAGGGCUAGCCUGGAAACCUUCCGCAGGCAGCUAGGAGGCGGAGGAGCCUCAGGAGAUUCUCAGUCAGUGCCAGUUAGGGACCCAGGCUUUCCUGUAUCAACCAAUCAACGCUGUCAACCAAUUAACGUCAUCAAUAAGUCAACAUCAUCAACCAAUCAACAUCACCUUUUGUUUUUGCUCCGCGCAGUAUUAAAGGAUGGACUUGCAAAAAUUUACAUGGAAUCCUCCCUUCAAAAUGCUUACUGUUCCAAGGGCCAGGGGGCCACAAAUAAGGACUCCGCAGGGGGGGAGGGGGGGUUAUAAGCUCUGUGAGAGCAGGGACUCUAUUAUUUGCCUUUCUUUCGAUCCAUAGGACUUAGCACCAAGCUUGAUUCGUAGUAGAAGUUUAAUAAAUACCUCUGUUAACCAACAGCAAAAUAUAUACAAGGUGAUGGCGUGGGAAGUGGGGUGUACGUCAGGAAAAACCAAAUGAAGGAGGUGGCCAGGAGCCAGAACUGAGAAGGAAGCUAGAGAUUCAGAAAAGUCGAGAGUAUUUCAGGCAAUGGAGAAGGAAAUCGGAAUGUUGGGUUCUGAAGACAGCAAGAAGUCCAGUUUGGACCAGAAUUUGACAAGAGAAGCUUGUUUUAAGCUAGAAAGGGCUUUAAAUGCCAAAGAGAUCAGUUCCCUUCUGCUGAUGUUUGUCAAGGCUAUAUCUUUUGGGUAAGACACCUUGGAAGGCACUGAGCAUGCAUCCCUGCCUUCUAGGGUCUUCAGUUCUUUCAAAGGAGACAAAUAACUCAAUAGAAGAUAAUUUGACAAAAGAUGGAGCAAUUCAUGUCUAGGUGGAUCUAGGAAGCCUUCACAGAGGAGGUGGUAUCUGAGCAUGACCCUUGAAGAAAAAUCAGUUUUGAGAAGAUGAAGAUCAGUGGAGAAGGACUUCCCACUGCACACAACACACUCCUGACAGGAACACUGGAAUAUCCUGAUUUUUCAGAUCCUUACUUCCCCCCUUAUUGGUGUUGAAAAAAAAAAACCUCUUGGGGGUGGGGGCUUUUACCCUAAUUAAUGAGGUAAAAUUUAGGAUAAGAAAUUAAAGGAGGGGCAGCUACAUUGCUCAGCGGAUAGAGCCAGGCCUGGAAUUGGGAGGACCUGGGCUCAAAUCUGGCCUCAGACACUUCCUAGCUGCAUGACCCUGGGCAAGUCAUUUAACCCACAUUGCCUAACCCUGUCCCCUCUUCUGUCUAAGAAUCAAUACUUAGUAUCAAUUUUAAGACAGAAGGUAAGGGCUUGGGGUUUUGUUUUUUAGCUAAAGAAGUUUAUUUAAAAUGUCAAGGUUUUUUUUUAUUUUUAGUAUGUGUGAUAUAUGUCUUCUGUCACAGCAUAGGGGAUAUGGCAAUAUAUAUUCAUAACCACACUGGUAUAACCUCUACCAGAUUAUUUAUUGCCUCAGGAAAGGU